AUGGCUGGCAUUGCUCGCUGACACUCUAUCUGCCAGGGCCACACCAGCCGCGGGCCCAGAAUAGCAGCGCUGCCCCUCAGAGAGCAUGGAACAGCUCCGUGGCCCUGCCGCGUCCCAGGUGGCGCUGCUGGAUGCUGUUGCGUGCCCUGAGGAGGAAGGGUUUCUGAAGGCUGUAUGCCCCAGGGAGGAGGAAGAGGAGGAGGAAGAAUACAGGAGACCUGUCACCUUCACACUAGGAAAUGAGAUACUGGGGCUGGGCCCAGAGACCGAGUUUCAGACCCCUGAUGCUGAGGUCUAUAUGCACUUCUUGAGGAGCCACUGCUGCUAUGAUGCCAUCCCCACCAGCUGCAAGCUCGUUGUCUUUGACGUCUCCCUGGAGAUCAAGAAAGCCUUUUUUGCACUUGUGGCCAACGGGGUUCGUGCUGCCCCUCUCUGGGACAGCAAGACGCAGAGCUUUGUGGGGAUGCUCACCAUCACUGACUUCAUCAACAUCCUCCACCGCUACUACCGCUCACCUUUGGUUCAGAUCUACGAGGUGGAGGAGCACAAGAUUGAGACCUGGAGAGAGGUGUACCUGCAGGGCUCCCUCAAGCCACUGGUCUACAUCUCUCCAAGCAAUAGCCUCUUUGAUGCUGUCUACUCCCUGAUCAAGCACAAGAUCCACCGCCUGCCUGUCAUUGAGCCUGUCUCAGGCAAUGUCCUGCACAUCCUGACACACAAGCGCAUCCUCAAGUUUCUCCACAUCUUUGGUUCUACCAUCCCCAAGCCACGCUUCCUGAAGAAAACAGUGCAGGAACUGUGCAUUGGCACCUUCCGUGAUCUGGCCGUCGUGGCUGAGACUGCCCCAGUCUACACUGCCUUGGAGAUUUUUGUGGAUCGCCGUGUCUCCGCCUUGCCUGUCAUCAAUGAUGCUGGGCAAGUGGUUGGCCUGUACUCGCGGUUUGAUGUCAUUGUGAGUACCCUGCGUGUGUGCGUGCCCAGGCUCAAGUUUGGCCCCUUGCAUGCACUGGUGAGGUGCUUAUACCUGUCUGUGCCCAUGCAAACCCACCCCACAUGCAUUGUCAUGCACGUGCCAGUGAACAUCUGCUCUGUGCAUCUCCUGGGCUCAGUGUCCCUUCUGUGGUGGCACAAUGGGGUGCAAGGACACCUUGGGGUGCUCAAUGGAGACACAUCUAUCACAGCACCUGGCAGCCCAGAAGACCUACAACAACCUGGACAUCAGUGUGAGGGAGGCACUGCGGCAGCGCAGUGUCUGCCUGGAGGGGGUCCUCACCUGUUACCCCCACGAACCUAUGGAGGACAUAAUUGACCGCAUUGCCAAGGAGCAGGUCCAUCGCCUGGUUCUGGUGGAUGAGAACCGCUACCCGCGGGGCAUUGUCUCCCUCUCUGACAUCCUGCAGGCCCUUGUGCUCACUCCUGCAGGUAUUGAUGCUCUUAACUCUUAGCCCACGGUGCUCCAUCUUUCUCCACUUGCACCCUCAAUUUCUCUCCACUUCAGGCAUCGACCGAUCCUCACUCUGAAGACACCAGGGAAAUGCCACUGUCUUGUCUGACUCAGGGAUCUCUUGCGUGACCUGUGAGAAGGAGGCUUGGGCCCGAAGGCUCUCUGUGGGGAGGACAUGCUUGUUCACCCCAGUCCUCAGGCUCGUCUUGAGUCCAGGGCUAGAUCCUGCCGGUCUUGGAGAGGCAGAAACACUGAAAAUGGAACCCAGGGGUGCCUCCUUCCAGUGAGCACACAGUGAUGCUCAGUGGGCACUAUGCUGGAGGGGCUGCAACAUGCCGGCAGCUGGGCAGAGACCCAUACAGCCCCAGCUGGCCACCCUCUGCCAUCCUGCUGAUGGAUCUGAUUGUUUCUAUUGUGGCUCCCUCCUAGUGAACACAGUCCCGCUGUCUGUGCUCGGUGCCUGGUAGCAUAGGCUCAGCUGCACACACAGGCUUUUGUAUUUUAGGGUCACACGGGGCUGGAGCUCUCUGGCAGAGGCACAGCCUGUGCUAGAGCUGGCAGCAGGAUGGGCACUUGCAUGGAGACCCUGUGCACGUUUGGGGUGGGAAGGGGAUAUUUAUUUAUUUGUUAGUCUGUUCAGCCUUGCUGUAACAAAACAGCUUGAUCAAAGAACUGCCUCUUGCCUUUCUGGGGUAAAGCUGGGCAUGACUCCUCUGGAGAGAACAAGUCUGGAGAACGGGUACUGGCUGUUUGCCAGCAAGUUUGGCACUGGCAGAGUAGUACUUCAGCACGUGUGGUAGAACCAAGGGGUUGGGGACACAGGGCAUGCAGUCUUAAUCAUCUUGGUGGUGUGCAGGUCCCGUUGGGGACACACUGAGGGACAGAAGCUUUGGUACCAGCAAGGUUUCUGCCUCCUGCUUCCCUCAGUCCAAGAAGCAGGAAAGUAUGAGGGGUUCACUGUUAAAAAUGUCCCAUGCCCCACCCC